CGCCCCCUAGUCAUUAUUCCAUUAAAUGUGCCCUGAGCCUGUGACAACAGGAAAAACAUGGCGGGAGACCCGAAGGCCCAGAUCCACAGCUGACGGCCACAGAUGUCACUCCACUGAUUGUAACGGAGCAACGCUGAUUCCCACCAGACUGAGUCCUGGCCCUAAUACUGCAGCAUUUGACAUGGGACCCUGCAGGGCGGAGCCAGCCGGGCCAUUUUCUGCAGCUUUGUUUUGAGUGAGGAAUUGUGUAAAAUACAAGCAGAGUGCCAAACCGGCGAAAAGUCUCUGGAGUUUGGAAGCCAGAGUGUCUGGGAGCUGGCUCAGGGGAUGAGGUGUCAGGACUCCUAUUUUAAGCUCUGGCGUGUGCUAACUGUCACCUUGGGUACAUCACAUUCGCUGCCUCACUUUACCUCUCUAAAACAGGUACAGUUAUUCUCACCUACCCAGGGGUGUUGUGAGGUUCAAUUAAUAUUUGUGAAGCUCUUGACGAUCCUUAGAUGGAAGGAAUUAUACAAGUGCCGAGUAUUAUUAUUAUCUCUUCCAAUUCCAGGGAGAACAUCCCAGCAGCACUCGGCCUCCUCUCAAAUCUGGCGGCAGGUCACAGCGAUUGGUGGGUCUCGUGUGCGUGUGACUGUGAGUCACCAGUGUAACUCAUCCUAACGCACCUCAGGGAGGUGCUCAGAUACCAUGGUGAUGGACGCAGUCUAAGAACCAGAAUAGAAUAGAACCUGAUUGACUUCAGGGAUGUCACUCCUGAUUUACAACUGAUGUGAGACAAGCACAGGUACUCAGCUACCAUAGUGGUGAGACUGGCGUGAAACACAUGAUUAACUAGACCUAGUCCAGAUUAGAACCGCAGCCUUACGUGCAAACUGAUUAUUAAAGUAGAUUUAUGGGGCCAGAUUCUCUGCUGGCAUAACAACACUGAGGUCAAUACAGUGCGCAGCCAGCCGUGUGUGACUCUUCCCAGUGGACUAUAGCCAUACCACUCCAGUCUGUGAUUUUGGCAGAACAAUCUUAGGUUUAGCCAGCAUGUGGAUGGGGAAAUCUAAGUGCUGUAGGAAAUUAUGAUGGUAGUUCAGUCAAUGGCACUCGUCCCUCAGAGCCGCUACUGGAUCAAUGCCUCAGCAUCAUGCGGCCCCUCUGCUGAGAUGCCCCGUACAGCAGAUGUCCAGGCCUUGCAGAUUGGCUUCCCACUGGAGGAGAAAUCAGUGAUGUGGCGUAUGGGUCUAUUCUAGGUGUAACGUGUUUAUUUACGCAUAUAUACACCAGAUCUGGAGCAGCACUGGUCAAACAGCGUGCAGGGAAAUCUCUUCUUUCAGGGAUCUCAGCCCACCACCAGGAAAUAAGUCUGCCUCAAGAAUUGACUCCAAUCAGAGACCAGGGCAGAGAGCAAACUCUCCAGCUG
rnacentral:lncRNA from 1 species